UGUGAUGUUUCCUAAGAGGUCGAGUACUGUGGCUAUUCUCAGGUACGAUCAUAGCACACUAUGGCCUCGAACUCCUGGGCUCAAG